rnacentral:rRNA from 1 species
UACGGGGGGGGCAAGCGUUGUUCGGAAUUACUGGGCGUAAAGGGCUCGUAGGUGGCCAACUAAGUCAGACGUGAAAUCCCUCAGCUUAACUGGGGAACUGCGUCUGAUACUGGAUGGCUUGAGAUUGGGAGAGGGAUGCGGAAUUCCAGGUGUAGCGGUGAAAUGCGUAGAUAUCUGGAGGAACACCGGUGGCGAAGGCAGCUCACUGGCCGUUAUCUGACGCUGAGGCGCGAAAGCGUGGGUAGCAAACAGG